rnacentral:misc_RNA from 1 species
GGAAGUAAAAGUCGCAACAAGGUUUCCGUAGGUGAACCUGCGGAAGGAUCAUUAGUGAAUAUUAGCGCAUCUACUUGUAGGGCGUGACCUCCACUUUCUAACUCUGUGCAUUUAUUGGCGGAAGAACUAGAGUAAUCGAAUUCUUCUGCGGCUCAUUUUAUAACACUAGUUAAAGUAUGUAACGAAAUAUCGAAACAAAAAAAACUUUCAACAACGGAUCUCUUGGCUUGC